GACGAACGCUGGCGGCGUGCUUAACACAUGCAAGUCGAACGGAAAGGCCCUGCUUUUGUGGGGUGCUCGAGUGGCGAACGGGUGAGUAACACGUGAGUAACCUGCCCUUGACUUUGGGAUAACUUCAGGAAACUGGGGCUAAUACCGGAUAGGAGCUCCUGCUGCAUGGUGGGGGUUGGAAAGUUUCGGCGGUUGGGGAUGGACUCGCGGCUUAUCAGCUUGUUGGUGGGGUAGUGGCUUACCAAGGCUUUGACGGGUAGCCGGCCUGAGAGGGUGACCGGCCACAUUGGGAUUGAGGUACGGCCCAGACUCCUACGGGAGGCAGCAGUGGGGAAUAUUGCACAAUGGGCGGAAGCCUGAUGCAGCAACGCCGCGUGCGGGAUGACGGCCUUCGGGUUGUAAACCGCUUUCGCCUGUGACGAAGCGUGAGUGACGGUAAUGGGUAAAGAAGCACCGGCUAACUACGUG
rnacentral:rRNA from 1 species